GACGAACGCUGGCGGCGUGCUUAACACAUGCAAGUCGAACGGAAAGGCCCUGCUUUUGUGGGGUGCUCGAGUGGCGAACGGGUGAGUAACACGUGAGUAACCUGCCCUUGACUUUGGGAUAACUUCAGGAAACUGGGGCUAAUACCGGAUAGGAGCUCCUGCUGCAUGGUGGGGGUUGGAAAGUUUCGGCGGUUGGGGAUGGACUCGCGGCUUAUCAGCUUGUUGGUGGGGUAGUGGCUUACCAAGGCGUUGACGGGUAGCCGGCCUGAGAGGGUGACCGGCCACAUUGGGACUGAGAUACGGCCCAGACUCCUACGGGAGGCAGCAGUGGGGAAUAUUGCACAAUGGGCGGAAGCCUGAUGCAGCGACGCCGCGUGCGGGAUGACGGCCUUCGGGUUGUAAACCGCUUUCGCCUGUGACGAAGCGUGAGUGACGGUAAUGGGUAAAGAAGCACCGGCUAACUACGUG
rnacentral:rRNA from 1 species